rnacentral:rRNA from 1 species
GUGCCAGCCGCCGCGGUAAUACGUAGGGUGCUAGCGUUGUUCGGAAUUAUUGGGCGUAAAGCGCGUGUAGGUGGUUUGUUAAGUCGGAUGUGAAAUCCCUGGGCUCAACCGAGGAAGUGCAUUCGAAACUACCAAGCUAGAGGACGGCAGAGGAUGGUGGAAUUCCUAGUGUAGAGGUGAAAUUCGUAGAUAUUAGGAGGAAUACCGGCGGCGAAGGCGGCCAUCUGGGCCGUUCCUGACACUGAGACGCGAAAGCGUGGGUAGCAAACAGGAUUAGAUACCCUGGUAGUCC